rnacentral:rRNA from 1 species
ACGGGCUUCGGUCUGGUGGCGAGUGGCGAACGGGUGAGUAAAGUAUCGGAACGUACCUUUCAGUGGGGGAUAACGUAGCGAAAGUUACGCUAAUACCGCAUAUUCUGUGAGCAGGAAAGCAGGGGAUCGCAAGACCUUGCGCUGAUUGAGCGGCCGAUAUCAGAUUAGCUAGUUGGUGGGGUAAAGGCCUACCAAGGCGACGAUCUGUAGCGGGUCUGAGAGGAUGAUCCGCCACACUGGAACUGAGACACGGUCCAGACUCCUACGGGAGGCAGUAGUGGGGAAUUUUGGACAAUGGGGGCAACCCUGAUCCAGCCAUGCCGCGUGAGUGAAGAAGGCCUUCGGGUUGUAAAGCUCUUUCGGCCGGGAAGAAAUCGCAUGGGCUAAUACCCUGUGUGGAUGACGGUACCGGAAUAAGAAGCACCGGCUAACUACGUGCCAGCAGCCGCGGUAAUACGUAGGGUGCGAGCGUUAAUCGGAAUUACUGGGCGUAAAGCGUGCGCAGGCGGUUUAGUAAGACAGGCGUGAAAUCCCCGGGCUCAACCUGGGAACUGCGCUUGUGACUGCUAAGCUAGAGUAC